AUGGGAGAACAGACCAACCCCCACCUCUCUACAGCCUCCUUUAAGGUAUCUGUAGAGAGCGAUAAGGUCGCCCCUGAGCCGCCUCUUCUCCAGGCUGAACAAGCCCAGCUCCCUCAGCCGCUCCUCGUAGGACUUGUUCUCCAGGCCCCUCACCAGCUUCGUCGCCCUUCUUUGGACCCGCUCAAGCACCUCGAUGUCCUUCUUGUAGCGAGGGGUCCAAAACUGAACACAGUACUCGAGGUGCGGCCUCACCAGAGCCGAGUACAGGGGGACGAUCACCUCCCUAGCCCUGCUGGUCACAGUGUUUCUGAUACAAGCCAGGAUGCCGCUGGCCUUCUUGGCCACCUGAGCACACUGCUGGCUCAUAUUCAGCCGACUGUCCACCAUCACUCCCAGGUCCUUCUCUGCCAGGCAGCUCUCCAACCACUCAUCUCCCAGCCUGUAGCUCUGCUUGGGGUUAUUGCACCCCAGGUGCAGGACCCGGCACUUGGCCUUGUUAAACUUCAUGCAGUUGACCUCAGCCCAUCGGUGCAGCCUAUCCAGAUCCUCCUGCAGAGCCUUCCUACCCUCGAGCAGAUCGACACACGCACCUUAAUUGGUGCCAUCUGCAAACUUACUGAGGGUGCACUCAAUGCCCUCGUCCAGAUCAUUGAUGAAGAUGUUAAAGAGGACCGGCCCCAGCACCGAGCCCUGGGGGGCGCCACUAGUGACUGGCCUCCAACUGGACUUGACUCCAUUCACCACAACUCUUUGGGCCCAGCUAUCCAGCCAGUUUCUAACCCAACGAAGCGUGCGCCAGUCCAAGCCAAGAGCAGCCAGUUUCUUGAUGAGAAUGCUGUGGGAGACGGUGUCAAAAGCCUUGCUGAAGUCAAGGUAGACCACAUCCACAGCCUUUCCCUCAUCCACCCAGCGCGUCACUUUGUCAUAGAAGGAGAUCAGGUUCAUCAAGCAGGAUCUGCCUUCCAUAAACCCAUGCUGACUGGGCCUGAUCGCCUGCUUGCCCUGCAAGUGCCGCAUGAUGACUCCCAAGAGGAUCUGCUCCAUGAGCUUCCCUGGUACUGA
rnacentral:lncRNA from 1 species